AUGGGGUCUAUUAUAAGUAUCAAACAGAAGAUGAAUAAUGGGAAGAUUGAUGUUAAUGUCUUCUGGCUCAGAAUAAAAUCCAAUUCAUUUCAAGUAUUUCAAACAUCUCACAUUCAGAAGACAAUAAGAAACUUCACAAAGGUAAAGAUUUUGGAAUGGGCUGGUACAAGUGUCAUGGGUGCCAUAAGGAGGGACUGGAGUAAGCUCCUUAUAGCCAUCUCAGACAAUGCAGUCACCUCGAGUCCUCAGUGUGCUGGACAGGGAAUGAGAUUAUUUGGAGGAGUCUCUCUCUUUGGGCUAAGGUGUACUGGAUAUAAGGGAAUGAGCACAGCUAGUCAGAGUUAG
rnacentral:lncRNA from 1 species